CGCUAAUCAGCUGCUGUAGUUUCUAAUAUGCAUGUGUUUCAGGUGAUUAUUCAGAUGUGGGCACGAACAGCGCAUGCGCGUCAGCUCCAGCGCGUCUCAUUCCGCUCGCGUCUGUUUGACAGGAACACAUGCGGCAUAUUCAGCGCUUAGAACUGAAGAGAGGAGCAACUCCAGGAGGUUUUGCGUGUUUGGUCAGGAUGGGCUGCUCAUCUUCCAGCACACAGACGCUCGCGCAGGAGAACCCACCGCGCGUCAAAGCGGAGGAGGCGAGCGGAGAAACUCUGCUCUCUCGUAAUGGGCUUGUAGCAGAAGACAGCGAGACCGUCUCGGAUCAGAUGCAGCUGCCAGUUCAAAGCACUCUGCCGGAUGAGCUGGGUCCCGGACCGGACGAGACGGUGGAGGCCUCAGAAGCAGAGCAGACAGCGGUCAGCGCUAGUGAUGCUCCUCUAGAGGAGAGAGAUGCAGCUGAUGUUCCCACUGCUUCAGAACCCACUGACUCCACGCCUGCAGAACCCUCUCUAGCUGUGGAACCUGCGUCAGAUCUCACCAGCACUCCAGAACCCAAGCCAGCUGAGCUAACAGAAGCUCUAGAGGCCCCAUCAGACACGAGCUCGGAGCCCACACUGGAGCAAGCAGACACAGCUCCUGAAGCGAAGCCAACCGCAGCUCAAGAACCAGGUCCAGUGGAGCGAAGCCCUGCUCCAGAACUCACUGUGUCUGAGCCUGUCCCGAGUGCAGAACCAGCUCCUGCUGAGGAACCGACUGUGUCUCCAGAACCAGCUGCAGUGGAACCGAGCCCAGCUCCAGAAUCAGUUCUGGCUCCAGAACCCUCGGCUGAGGAACCGAGUGUGUCUCCAGAACCAGCUGCAGUGGAACCGAGCCCAGCUCCAGAAUCAGUUCUGGCUCCAGAACCCUCGGCUGAGGAACCGAGUGUGUCUCCAGAACCAGCUGCAGUGGAACCGAGCCCAGCUCCAGAAUCAGCUCCGGCUCCAGAACCCUCGGCUGAGGAACCGAGUUCAGCUCCAGAACCCUCGGCUGAGGAACCGGGUUCAGCUCCAGAACCAGCUGCAGUGGAACCGAGCCCAGCUCCAGAAUCAGCUCUGGCUCCAGAAACCUCGGCUGAGGAACCGAGUUCAGCUCCAGAACCCUCGGCUGAGGAACUGACUGUGUCUCCAGAACCAGCUGCAGUGGAACCGAGCCCAGCUCCAGAAUCAGCUCCGGCUCCAGAGCCCACGGUUGAGGAACCAAGCCCAGCUCCAGAACCCUCGGCGGAGGCAGCAGCGAUCACACAGUCUGCAGAGGAGAACGCGACCUGCGCAGACGCUCCAGAGGGUAACGCAUGGGAACAUGGGCAGAUCAGCUCUAGAAAUCCAGAAAUGAGCACUGAUUACAUCUGCAGCAGCAACAAGCUCUGUUUUAAAUUAUGUUUCUGAUCACUUUAGAUCAAAGCCUCAGAUUACAGGAUGCUUGAGCAGUAAAAUAAAGCUCUGGUCACUACACAUACUGUAGUAAGGCAGUGCAUAACCAGUGCUGGGUAACAGAACAGAGAUUGUUGAGUAGAGUUCACUGCAGUCUAGACAAAGACAAAGUCUAGACACAGAACAUGUCACCGUUUUCUUCACAUCUGCACUAUGCACAACAGCCUCUUGCUGACGCUUCGUCGCUCUUUGUGUCGAGCCAAAAGCCACAAUAAUCUUGUACUCUGUUGCCUCAGAUUAUGUCAGAUGAGCGCUCGCAUGUCCUGCGAUGACGGCAGCGGUUCGUGACACACGGCGCUGGGCCAUGCCACAGUACUGCUUAAUACAAGCUGUAAUGAUAAUCAGUAUUGAUACUUAUAUUCUGAUACAACCAUUUAUUUAAAAUACGAGCGAAUGAACGAAUGUGCAGGCAUGUGUGAGAGUGAGACUCUGAAUUCAAUGUGCUUUUCUCUGAUUUAUUCAGCAUCAGCAUUUUAACGCUCGCACACAUCCUGACAAACACGACAUGUAGGACAACAAGCCUAGUGCAGCUAAAGCUCUCAGACCAAGCGUCUCUGUGAAACACGAGGUAGGGUCAGUGUAGCAGGUUUAUUUACAGAGAUGGACAGGCGAAUGUCACCGACUUCUUAAAGAUCUGACUGAAGAUCUGAAGAUUAUUGACCAUUCAGAACACAUGUAGUGUCCCAGAGAUGCAGUAUGGUGCAUAUUUAUAUUCCAGUUUAUGAGAAUAUAAUAUAAAAUAAAG
rnacentral:lncRNA from 1 species